GAGUGUGUGUGUGUGUGUAUUGUUCUUGUUGUUUUUAGUAAAAGUAAACUCGUUUUCUCGUUUCUGGUUCUCCUGUUUUUAGGUGAUUCUGAAACAGGAAGUUCAGUAGAAAGGUUGAUGGUGAUUCUGGUGGUUUUGAUUCUGGUUGGGAUGAUUCUUUCUGCAGUGUUUUAUUUUAGAAUCAGGAUAUUUAACAGUAAGUUUCACUGACUUUUAUUCUUCUACCAUAAAAAAAUGCUUAAUAAACUGACAGAAGUCUUUAUUUUUGUUUGUAGAAUUGAUUCAGAUCAAAGAUCAAAGUGAACAGGAUCAUACUGGCUGCUGUGACGAAAAUGGAAUUCCACCUGAGGGCAGGAAUGAGAUCGGUGAGAAUUUUGGUGAAUACUCUACAAUUCCAGAAUUAAGAGCCAUCACAAACCCUGUCACUUUGUGUGAUGCUGAGAGAGACGUGUACAGUCUGAUUCAAGAUUCAGCGAUAUACAGCGUAGUACAGAAGAACGAAAGUGUUUUGCUGAAAAAGAAGAAAGAAACUAAACAACUCACUGAUACAACUGCAGUUUAUGCAAUCGUGCAAAAAGGAAGAAAAACGUGAUGACUGUCACACCUUCCUAUGCCUCUACUGACUUUUCCACUUUCACAAACUCCAACUCCCAGAAUGCACCUCUCAAUCAUGUGUCUCAGCCAGCCAAUCAGCACCUGAUUGUUAGAUCAGCUUCACCUGUGUUCUGAGUAAUUACUGGGGUUUUUCUGUGUAUAAAUAAAAGUCUGUUUGUCCUCUUUUUUGCGAAGUAUUGCCCCUGUUUUUUCAGCUGCAUACCGAGCGUUAUUUCUUUUUUUAUCUAUUUCCAUGUUUGACCUAUUUUUUGUCUUUUGUCUCUGAUUUUGUCUUGCCCUUUUGGUUAGUACUCUUGGCUAUUUUGUUCUGGUUUAGACCCUUAUUUCUUGUUUGUUGUUUAUCCCUUUUGGACUGUGAUUUGGCUCUGAUGUUUUGGUUGGUGUUGUUUCUGGUUUGUAAUGUCAUUUGUUGGUUUAGCUCUGGUUAUUAAAGCUACUCCUGAUUCUUA